GGGAGGGUGGUCUAGCUUGGUAUGAUACCUUAGUUUGGAUUUCUCAAACUAUUUCUAAUCGGCUGGGGGCCGAGUGGCCGGGGGUUCGAAUCCCCCCUCUCCCA
rnacentral:tRNA from 1 species